GCUGUUUGACUCAAUAUAUAGUGCAAGUAAAACUAACCUGUACACUUUGCCCUGGUUUAUACAAAGUUAAAGGCGUGAUGUUUAUGUGAUCGAAUAGCAGGUGACAGAAUAUAGUUAUUUGCUUUUUGUUAUUAUUUGUAUUUCAAAUACUUAGAAAUUAGAUCGUAUUUCCUAGUAUUGUUUAGUAUUUUCCUAGUAGUCUAUUUCCUAUAGUAUUGGUUAUUCAACAGCAAGUGUACUUCUACAAUUUCAAUCAGUGUGUAGUUCACAACUUUUAAUUUGUUAUUUAUGUCAAUAUAUGGCGAAUAAAAACGGGUGGUAAUCGUUUAUAAUCAAAUUGCGUAAAUGAAAGUAGCUACCGCGUCGAGUGUUGUGUUUCCGUAGACGUAGUACAGGGUACAUCAUCUUCUACCAAGGUACAUACUAAGUGUUUAUACGACUAUUGUAUUCUGAAAAGUAUCUGAACUCCCCCAAUGGGAAUAAGCUAUACAAGGCCAAGUUGGGAACGAUGUUAGUUGCCAUGCAACUUGGCCUUGUAGGUCUUGUAGGAAAGACCGCGCGUACAGUAUAGAGGAUGAUCGUUCUAGAAAUGCGAAGGUCGCGGGUUGGAUUCCCAGUACAAUGCCAAAAUUAUUUUCACGAGGUGAAAGAUGGAAUUUUCCAUUUCACAAGGCGACAGUCGUUCUUUUGUAAGGUAUUUCAAUUUUUUUUUCUAGUUUUUCUUCUCACUGGAAUCAUGUCACUGAAACGUAUAUAGUCUAGAUCUUCGAGUUAUACAGUAAUUGAUGGACAGCAUGGACACGUCAGAAAAUGAUCACCAGCAUGAAUCGGUUGCUAGCUUGGCGAAACGAUUCGAAAAAUUAGCAAAGGAUUUGGAUGCGCAGAACAAUGUAAAUGGCUUUGUUGACAAUGGUCUAUGCCAGGGCAAAACGAAUCAAGGAACCAAAUCACCCACUGUGCAAGUAAAAGUUUUCAUUGUGCAUUUUUCUUUUGUACAUGUAAUAUUACUAAUAAAUAUUCUUAUGUCCCAACAUUUAAACCAUAGGAAUGAGGCGUUGUCUGCACAGUCUGUGGUGUAGAGAUGUUGGCUAGUAGCUAGUAUAGCAAGUAUACAGUGGCGGAAAUCUUGACGAAUUUUCCACCUUCCGGAAAAUUGACGAAUUUUCGGAAAUUUUGAUCUGAAAGAGGGCUAAAAACAGUCUUUUCGAGUGCAAAUGGGGGGG